GGAAGUAAAGUCGUAACAAGGUCUCCGUUGGUGAACCAGCGGAGGGAUCAUUACAAGAAGCCGAAAGGCUACUUAAAACCAUCGCGAACUAUUCCAAGUUGCUUCGGCGGUGCGGCUCUCCCCCCCGGGGGUCCGCCGCGUGCGCCGCCUCCUCCCCCGGGAGCUGGCGGGGCGCCCGCCGGAGGUCACAAACUCUCAUGUAUUACAGUGGAUCUCCGAGUGAAAAACAAAUAAGUUAAAACUUUCAACAACGGAUCUCUUGGUUCUG
rnacentral:misc_RNA from 1 species